rnacentral:rRNA from 1 species
AUUGGAGGGCAAGUCUGGUGCCAGCAGCCGCGGUAAUUCCAGCUCCAAUAGCGUAUAUUAAAGUUGUUGCAGUUAAAAAGCUCGUAGUUGGAUUUCUGUUAAUAAUUUAUAUAUAAUAUUUUUAAUAUUUAUAUAAUAUUAACAUAAUUCAUAUUACUAUAAUUUUUAUUAGUAUAUGAAAUUUUACUUUGAGAAAAUUAGAGUGCUUAAAGCAGGCAUAUGCCUUGAAUACUCCAGCAUGGAAUAAUAUAAAAGAUUUUUAUCUUUUUUAUUGGUUCUAAGAUAAAAAUAAUGAUUAAUAGGGACAGUUGGGGGCAUUUGUAUUUAACAGUCAGAGGUGAAAUUCUUAGAUUUGUUAAAGACAAACUAGUGCGAAAGCAUUUGCCAAGGAUGUUUUCAUUAAUCAAGAACGAAAGUUAGGGGAUCGAAGACGAUCAGAUACCGUCGUAGUCUUAACCAUAAACUAUGCCAACUAGAGAUUGGAGGUUGUUCCUUACUCCUUC